GGCCCGCCUUANCUGGUCGCCGGGGGGCUUACGCCCCCGGGCCCGCGCCCGCCGAAGACACCCUCGAACUCUGUCUGAAGAUUGUAGUCUGAGUGAAAAUAUAAAUUAUUUAAAACUUUCAACAACGGAUCUCUUGGUUCCGGCAUCGAUGAAGAACGCAGCGAAAUGCGAUACGUAAUGUGAAUUGCAAAUUCAGUGAAUCAUCGAGUCUUUGAACGCACAUUGCGCCCCCUGGUAUUCCGGGGGGCAUGCCUGUCCGAGCGUCAUUUCUGCCCUCAAGCACGGCUUGUGUGUUGGGCCCCGUCCUCCGAUCCCGGGGGACGGGCCCGAAAGGCAGCGGCGGCACCGCGUCCGGUCCUCGAGCGUAUGGGGCUUUGUCACCCGCUCUGUAGGCCCGGCCGGCGCUUGCCGAUCAACCCAAAUUUUUAUCCAGGUUGACCUCGGAUCAGGUAGGGAUACCCGCUGAACU
rnacentral:rRNA from 1 species